GCCUCCGUGGUGUAACGGUAGCACACUCGGCGUCUAUUUGAGAGGUCCAGAUUCGAAUCCUGUCCAAGGCA
rnacentral:tRNA from 1 species